rnacentral:misc_RNA from 1 species
CCAAUCUUUAGCGGGCCUUGGGCUUGUCCAUGGUCUCGCGAAACUUGUAUUUAAAACCCGCUCAUGUAAAUUUUUAAGUAAUAUUAUAUUAUAUGUAUUAUAUAAAUUAAGA